rnacentral:rRNA from 1 species
UACGUAGGGGCUAGCGUUAUCCGGAAUUACUGGGCGUAAAGGGUGCGUAGGUGGUUUCUUAAGUCAAGGUGAAAGGCUACGGCUCAACCGUAGUAAGCCUUUGAAACUGGGAAACUUGAGUGCAGGAGAGGAGAGUGGAAUUCCUAGUGUAGCGGUGAAAUGCGUAGAUAUUAGGAGGAAUACCAGUUGCGAAGGCGGCUCUCUGGACUGUAACUGACACUGAGGCACGAAAGCGUGGGGAGCAAACAGGAUUAGAUACCCCUGUAGUCCCUGAG